rnacentral:lncRNA from 1 species
CUAAGGAGAGCUCUGGAACUGGGAUGAUCCUUCAGAGCUAGACCUUUCUUCCUAUUCAUCUAACAGUGAUUGGAUAUGGGGAGCUGUCUAUAGGAAGCGGGGGUGAUCUUGGGUGAGAAUGCUCUCUUCUGCUGAGAACAACUGCCAGAGGACUCAACUGAGCACCUUUAACCAUUAGCUGAGGCUUCUUAGCAGCUCCUCCGGCAUUCGGAUUGAUCUCUUUUACUGAGGAAGAGUUGCCUGAGAAUGGUUAGUGGGAUGCAACACAGCACCGUCUCUGCAAUUGGUCUCAAGACUGGAACUGUCUGCCAUAGCAACUCAAGUAAUGCAACUUUACUCAGCAUGGACCGUCACUUUCUCCAGACUUCUAAGAGAUGCCAUAGCAGAAAAUUUAUGCCUUUCCCUGCAGUCCUUGUCAAGUGUUAAAUCCCAUGGCCUUAUAUCCUGAGAGGAUGGCUCUAAAUCAAUAAACUCUCCU